CUUCCGCCGACCGGGAGCCGUGGACAGAUCUUCCUGAGGGUGCGGUUGGGGCCUGCGGCUUCCUCCGCCUCCCCGCACGGCGCCCUCUGUACUCUCCGCCGUCGGGCCCGCGGCCCCGGGUGGGUCACUGAGGGGCCGCGCUCGAGGCCUGAUCUGCCCGGGAACCCGCGGCGGCUUCCCAAGGCUCGUUCUGCGUCCCCUCUUCCCCUAGAAAAGGAGAAACUGAGGCCGCAGGGGGAACAGGAACAGGCCCGGGCCCUGGUGCAGUGCUGCGUCCCUCCGCCAGGGUGGGCCCUUCUGGAUUCGCGUGUCCUCGGGAAAGAGACUGGCCGGUGAGCUGCGCCCUGGCCGCCGCCUGGGCCUUUUGAGCUCUGCGGCCCUCCUGGAGACAGAUGAAAACGCUCCCCUGGUCGGCUUUGCUGGUUCUGCAGCAGCCAGCGCCCCCUCAUCUCCUGCAGCACCCUGAUCGGCACGCCCUGCUGGGCGCCGGCUGUCCUGCGUGGGAGGAUGUCCCCGGAUGAGCCCACUGUGUGCAGAGGCAUCAUGGGAGUUGUCAUGUUAGGAACAUUCUAGACCUCAGUGUCCUUGAGGGUGCUGCCUUGGAUCUGCAGGUUGUGAAGGAAGCUCCAGGGGCUAGAGGCACUGACCCUCUUGGGAUGAUGGCCUGGGGGUCCCAGCUCCCCUGGAGGGGCCUCCUCAUGAUUAUUUGAGAGUUGAUCAUGGACACUGGCAUAGCAGAGUGAUGAGUGAUAUUGCCACGUGACGCGUCUGUUGCCAGACCUUGCCCCUGUUGCCUCAGCAUAACAUGGAUCGACGUUUUGCUCUGCAGAGGGGAAGCCCUGCAACUCUGGGGACUUGAGGUCCAGGGUUCGGGAGACCCUUCUGCUGGCUCUGCCCUCCCAGUUAUGCCACAGAGCGCCACGAUCUGGGGAGACUGUUUGUCUUUUGUCUCGGCCAGCCUGUAUGUCCUCCUGCCUACUCCUGGUGUGACUUUUGAGGACCGAGAGUUCCUGUUGAGGUUUUCGGCACCGUGUACCUUUGUCCUCUCACCCGACUCAAUAAAUCUUUAAACAUGC